CUCUUUGAGGUUUAUUCAAGGUAGACUCUGCUCAGUGAAAAAUAAACAGCCGCGGUAUUUUGACUGUGCUAAGGUAGCAUAAUAAUUUGUCUUAUAAUAGAAGACUGGAAUAAAGGAGCUGACAGUACUGAAACUUUUUUAGUUUUUAAUCUAGAAAUUGAUAUCUACAUUAAAAAGUGUAGUUUUUUAAAAUGACGACAAGACCCUAUAAAACUUACAUUAGGAUCUUUGAGUUUGAAUCAAGAAUUAAAAAUUCAAGGGAAUAAUUGAGCUGGGGCGGUAUCUAAAAUUCUUUAGAAGAGGAAACAUUAAUUUUUGGUGUACAAGAUCUUAAAUUUAAGAAUUAGAACAAGUUACUUUAGGGAUAACAGCGCAAUUUUUUCAUAAAGAUCUUAUAGAAGGAAAAGACUUGCGACCUCGAUGUUGAAUUAAGGAGCUUAAUUUGAGCAGAAACAAAUUUAAGGAGUCUGUUCGACUUUUAAUACCUU
rnacentral:rRNA from 1 species